CGCUGGCGGCGUGCUUAACACAUGCAAGUCGAGCGGGGAACUUCGGUUCCCAGCGGCGGACGGGUGAGUAACACGUGGGUAACCUGCCUUACAGUGGGGAAUAGCCUUCCGAAAGGAAGAUUAAUACCGCAUAAUACUCAAGGAUCACAUGAUCUUUGAGCCAAAGGAUUUAUUCGCUGUAAGAUGGACCCGCGGCGCAUUAGCUUGUUGGUGAGGUAACGGCUCACCAAGGCUUCGAUGCGUAGCCGACCUGAGAGGGUGAUCGGCCACAUUGGAACUGAGACACGGUCCAGACUCCUACGGGAGGCAGCAGUGGGGAAUAUUGCACAAUGGAGGAAACUCUGAUGCAAGCAACGCCGCGUGAGUGAUGAAGGUCUUCGGAUCGUAAAACUCUGUCUUAUGGGACGAUAAUGACGGUACCAUAGGAGGAAGCCACGGCUAACUACGUGCCAGCCGCCGC
rnacentral:rRNA from 1 species